GCCUGGCUGGCUAGGUGAGUAAAGCAUGAGACUCUUGAUCUCAGGGUCCUGAGUUCAAGUCCCAUGCUGGGAG
rnacentral:tRNA from 1 species